rfam:Triticum aestivum genome assembly, contig: Triticum_aestivum_CS42_TGACv1_scaffold_485239_6AS
CUGGUACUCCCUCCGUCCGAAAAUACUUGUCCUAGAAACAGAUAAAAUGGAUGUAUCUAUAACUAAAAUAAGUCUAGAUACAACCAUUUCUAGGACAAGUAUUUCCAGACGGAGGGAGUACUGA